UACGUAGGGGGCAAGCGUUGUCCGGAUUCAUUGGGCGUAAAGAGCGUGUAGGCGGCUUCACAGGUCCGCUGUGAAAACUCGAGGCUCAACCUCGAGCUGUCGGUGGAAACCGUGUGGCUAGAGUCCGGAAGAGGAGAGUGGAAUUCCCGGUGUAGCGGUGAAAUGCGCAGAUAUCGGGAAGAACACCCGUGGCGAAGGCGGCUCUCUGGGACGGUACUGACGCUGAGACGCGAAAGCGUGGGGAGCGAACAGG
rnacentral:rRNA from 1 species